rnacentral:rRNA from 1 species
GGGCCCGCACAAGCGGUGGAGCAUGUGGUUUAAUUCGAUGAUACGCGAGGAACCUUACCAGGGCUUAAAUGUAGUGGGACAGGUCUAGAGAUAGACCCUUCUUCGGACUCAUUACAAGGUGCUGCAUGGUUGUCGUCAGCUCGUGCCGUGAGGUGUCAGGUUAAGUCCUAUAACGAGCGCAACCCCUAUCGUUAGUUGCCAGCGAGUAAUGUCGGGAACUCUAACGAAACUGCCAGUGCAAACUGUGAGGAAGGUGGGGAUGACGUCAAAUCAUCACGGCCCUUACGUCCUGGGCUACACACGUGCUACAAUGGCCGGUACAGAGAGCAGCCACUUCGCAAGAAGGAGCGAAUCUAUAAAACCGGUCUCAGUUCGGACUGCACUCUGCAACUCGAGUGCAUGAAGCUGGAAUUACUAGUAAUCGU